rnacentral:rRNA from 1 species
CCUACGGGAGGCAGCAGUGGGGAAUAUUGCACAAUGGGGGAAACCCUGAUGCAGCGACGCCGCGUGAGUGAAGAAGUAAUUCGUUAUGUAAAGCUCUAUCAGCAGGGAAGAAAAUGACGGUACCUGAGCAAGAAGCCCCGGCUAACUACGUGCCAGCAGCCGCGGUAAUACGUAGGGGGCAAGCGUUAUCCGGAUUUACUGGGUGUAAAGGGAGCGUAGACGGCAGUGCAAGUCUGGAGUGAAAGGCGGGGGCUCAACCCCCGGACUGCCCUGGAAACUGUACGGCUGGAGUGCAGGAGAGGUAAGUGGAAUUCCUAGUGUAGCGGUGAAAUGCGGAGAUAUUAGGAGGAACACCAGUGGCGAAGGCGGCUUACUGGACUGUAACUGACGUUGAGGCUCGAAAGAGUGGGGAGCAAACAGGAUUAGAUACCCCAGUAGUC